rnacentral:rRNA from 1 species
AUGGCGCCCUUGGCUUCCAAAAUACUUGACUCUCUCACCAUACUGAUGAUGUGCACCACCGCACUCGUCUCAGCCGCUAGAGCGCUGCCACCACUUGAACAACAAGCAGGGGCACUUCUUGCCUGGAAAGCCAGCCUCAGUCAGCAAAGCCAAGACGCCCUGCGAUCCUGGAGAAACAUCUCAGCACCUUGUCGUUGGCAAGGCAUCCGGUGUGGUGGAGGCCGGCCGGUGAUCGCCGCCAUCUCCCUGCCGAGGAUGCGGCUGAGAGGGACACUUGAGUCUCUUGACUUCUCGGCUUUGAGGACCUUGGUGUCCCUUGACCUCUCGCACAACGAGCUUGCCGGGAGCAUCCCUGUGAAUAUUAAGCUCCUCAAAGAACUCCAUGCUCUCCUCCUGCAUGACAAUCUGAUAAGAGGUUCAAUACCACCUGUUUUAGCAAAUCUCACGAAACUGCGUCUCCUAAUGCUCCAUGACAACCAAGUCUCCGGUGAAAUACCAAGGCAAAUAGGCGAGAUGGGUAAUCUUGUGAGCCUGAACUUGUCAAACAAUUACUUAGUUGGUCCUAUUCCUUGUGAAAUAGGUCAUCUUAAGCAUUUGCUUAAAUUAGAUUUGUCCCGCAAUGACCUUUCCGGACCAGUUUCCUUCAGUCCAGUAAACUUAGAAAACAUAAAUAUGCUAUCAUUAUCCCGUAACAACUUAAGUGGUCCCAUUCCCAAAGAUAUAGUGAAAUUUUUCAACCUACAACACUUAGACAUAAGCCAAAACAACUUUUCAGGUUCAAUCCCAAGCAAUAUAGGUAACCUGACCAAACUCACUACAUUGUACCUUUACCAUAACCAACUUUCUGGACACAUUCCUCGAGAACUAGGUUAUUUAGUGAUUUUAGAGGACUUGAGGCUCAACAACAACACACUAUCUGGUUCCUUUCCAAGCAAUUUAUGGAAUUUGACCAAACUUACUACCUUGCACCUUAAUUUCAACCAAUUUUCUGGACACAAUCCUCAAGAAAUUGGUGAGUUGAUGAAUCUGGAAAUGUUUGGAGUCUCUUUGAACAAUCUAUCUGGUGCAUUGCCAUCGGAUCUUUGCGUGGGAGGCCGACUACAGUUUCUCACCGCUAAUGGCAACAACUUGGUUGGACCCUUGCCAACAAGCUUGCUAAGUUGCAAAAGCCUAGUCAAACUUUGUCUUGAAGGAAAUCAGCUUCAAGGAGAUAUCUCCAAGAUGGGGCUUCACCCUAAUCUUGUCUAUGUUGAUAUCAGUUCAAACAAACUAUUUGGUCAAUUAUCUCAUCGCUGGGGUGAGUGUUACAAACUUACGAUGCUACGUGCUUCAAACAACAACAUUACUGGAGUCAUACCACCAAGCAUAGGGCAGUUAUCUCAGUUGGGGAUACUUGAUGUUUCAGCAAAUAAACUUGAAGGGCAGAUUCCACUGGGGAUUGGCAAUUUAACGGUGCUGUUCAACUUGAGCCUCAGUAAUAACCUGCUCGAAGGAAGUAUACCUAAAGAUAUUGGAUCGCUAAAUAAUUUGGAGUACUUGGAUUUAUCAUCAAACAACCUAAGUGGGAUGAUACAAGGGUCAAUUGAACAUUGUCUCAAGCUUCACUUCCUGAAUUUGAGCCAUAAUCGCCUCAAUGGCAGCAUUCCAAUCAAACUAGAAAUGCUGGUAAACCUACAAGAAUUAUUGGAUCUAAGUGAUAAUUCAUUUGCUAGUGUCAUUCCGAGUCAGCUGGGUGGUUUGAGCAUGCUCGAAAUUUUGAAUCUUUCACACAAUGCAUUGAAAGGUAGCAUCCCACCAUCAUUUCAGCGCAUGUUCAGCCUCCUAUCCAUUGAUGUGUCAUUCAACAAAUUGGAAGGGUCAGUGCCACAGAGUAGGUUGUUUGAAGAAGCUCCAAUCGAAUGGUUCAUGCAGAAUAAGCAAUUGUGUGGUGUAGUGAAAGGUUUGCCCCCUUGUGACCUUACUGAAAGUGGUGGACGAAAAAAGAAGCCCAGAGCUAUUUUACUAGCUAUAAUACCUGUUGUUGUAUCUUUUCAGUUUAUCAUGGCACUAGUAUCUUUGCAAUGUAAAAGGAGGAAACGCAAGGUGGAAUGCGCAAAUGAGUUGCAACAGACAAAGCUGUUCGCCAUCUGGAACUUUCAUGGAGGAGAUAUGUACAGGCAAAUUGUUGACGCCACAGAAAAUUUUAGUGACGCUCACUGCAUUGGAAUUGGAAGUAGUGGAUCAGUAUAUAGAGCUCAGUUACCAACAUGCGAGAUAGCAGUAAAGAAGAUUCAUACAAUAGAAGAGGAGGAGCUAUUUAAUCGUGAAAUAGAUGCCUUGAUGCAUAUUCGGCAUCGCAAUAUUGUGAAGUUAUUUGGCUACUGUUCUGCUACUAAACAAAGAUUUCUUUUGUAUGAAUACAUGGAAAGAGGAAGCUUAGCAGCAUCUUUAAGGACCAAGGAAACUGCAAUAGAGUUGGACUGGACAAGGAGGUUAAAUAUUGUUCAGGAUGUGGCCCAUGUUUUGUCUUACAUGCGUCAUGAUUGCUUUGCGCCGAUAGUCCAUAGAGAUAUAACAAGUAACAACAUUUUGCUUGAUCUGGAAUUUAGAGCAUGCAUCUCUGAUUUUGGUGUUGCCAAAAUAUUAGAUGUGGAUGGGUCAAACUGCACAAGGCUUGCCGGGACAAAAGGAUAUCUUGCACCAGAGCUUGCAUACACAACAAGGGUGACGGAGAAGUGCGACAUCUAUAGUUUUGGAGUGCUUGUGCUCGAGUUGUUCAUGGGACAUCAUCCGGGUGAUUUUCUUUCGUCCCUCUCAUCCAUGGACAAGAAAAGUACAAUACCCAAGUAUUUGCUGGACACCCGGCUCCCAUUGCCUAAAGCUGAGAUUGCAAAUGAAAUAUUCAAAGUGAUUGCCAUCGCUGUUCGGUGCAUAGAACCUGACCCAUUACACCGUCCAACGAUGCAGGAUGCAAUCAAGGUGUUCUCUGCAGAUGAAGGGGCCAGUAAUCUUGAUUACCUGCACACUGAAAUCAUCAUCCCUGCUUGUGGUUUUGAAUGUUCUUAG